UACGUAGGCAGCAAGCGUUGUUCGGAAUUAUUGGGCGUAAAGAGCUCGUAGGCGGUCUGUUGCGUCGGCUGUGAAAACCCGGGGCUCAACCCCGGGCCUGCAGCCGAUACGGGCAGACUAGAGUUCGGCAGGGGAGACUGGAAUUCCUGGUGUAGCGGUGAAAUGCGCAGAUAUCAGGAGGAACACCGGUGGCGAAGGCGGGUCUCUGGGCCGAUACUGACGCUGAGGAGCGAAAGCGUGGGGAGCGAACAGG
rnacentral:rRNA from 1 species